rnacentral:rRNA from 1 species
GUCUGCGACCAAUACACCUUGAACACGCCGGAUGUCUGAGCUCGGAAGCUGAGCAGGGUCGGACCUGGUUAGGACUUGGAUGGGAGACCCCCUAGGAAGACCGGGUGCUGUAGGCA